rnacentral:ncRNA from 2 species
GACGUAGGGGGCAAGCGUUGCCCGGAUUCACUGGGCGUAAAGCGGGUGUAGGCGGUCUGUUAAGUCGGAUGUGAAAUCUCCGGGCUCAACCCGGAAACUGCAUCCGAUACUGGCAGACUUGAGGACGGUAGAGGCCGGUGGAAUUCCCGGUGUACCGGUGAAAUGGACAGAUAUCGGGAGGAACACCAGUGGCGAAGGCGGCCGGCUGGGCCGAUCCUGACGCUGAGACCCGAAAGCCAGGGUAGCGAACCGG